GCCAUAGCUCAGUAGCAGAGCAUCUGCUUUCCAUGCAGAUGGUCCCAGAUACAACACCUGGCAUCUCCA